rnacentral:misc_RNA from 1 species
CGCCGCGGGUCCCACCAAACAUCGCGUUCGCGUGUUGCCGAGUCCGCAGGGACUCUUCACAGUCGCCCUCCCUCUCCUUCUCCGCCCCCCUCUUGCUCUCUCUCAUCUCUCCGCAGGUAAUUUCGUCUUGUCGGUCUUGCCGACCAUCGGUGGCGGUGCCCGUUCGCCUGCUUCUUCUUCUCUGCGUCCCCGCACUGCACGCGGUUGCGUGCGUGCGCGUUCAAGAGCUGACGCACAUGGAGCACCGACGCACCCGCACCGGGCCGAUCCGGUUCCGCUGCUUUCUGCGCAACACCAUCCUUGACGUGAUGCGCUGCCGUGGCUGGAUCGAGACGGACAGCGAGUCGGACUGGGAUUACUACUGGGCCGACGUCUCUUGGAUCCGGGAGAACUACGACGGGCUGCGCCUCGAUGACCAUCAGCACCUGAACCACUUCCGCAACCACUACGAGCUGACCCGCAAGGAUACGAUGGUGCGCAACAUCAAGAGGAUGGUGAAGGCGCUGGAGAAAGACGGGGACGCCGAGGAAGUGGCCGCUGCGUGGGACUUCUUCCCUGUCACUUUCUCACUCCCGCAGGACUACGGACUGUUUGAGCAGGAGUUCCGCCGACAGCCCAACACGAUCUGGAUCAUGAAGCCGCCAGCCAAGGCGCAGGGCAAAGGCAUUUUUCUCUUCUCGAAGCUCUCUCAGAUCGCGGAGUGGCGCCGCGAGUUUAAGCUACGCCACGGGUACUUGACAAGCAGCGGCGGCGGAGGCGGAGGCGGGGCCAUGGGCGGGGGUGGCGUCAACGGGGCAUCUUCGGGUGGCGGUGGCGGCGGCGGUGGCAGCUCAUGCAGCGGCAACGGGCUGGGAAGCGUGUAUGGUGUGCCGGAGCCGGUAGAGCCGUACCUCGCGCAGCGCUACAUCGCGAACCCGCAUCUCGUCGGCGGCAAGAAAUACGACCUGCGUAUCUACGUAUUUGUCCAAAGCUAUCAACCGCUGACGGUGUGGCUGCACCGCACCGGAUUCGCGCGCUUCUGCCACCACCGCUAUUCUCUGGACGACAUUGAUAACACAUACAUCCACGUCACAAACGUGGCUGUGCAGAAGACGUACCCGAAGUACACGGCGGCGUCGGGUUGCAAGUUUGGCAUUCGAAACCUGCGCACCAUCCUCACCGCCACUCACGGCGCGGCUCGUGCGAAUCAGCUGUUUGGCGACAUCCAACAGAUGAUCAUGCGCACUUUGUUUUCUGUGCAAAAGAUUAUUCUGCAGGACAAACACUGUAGUGAGCUGUACGGCUACGACGUUAUGAUUGACGACACACUGCACCCGUGGCUCAUCGAGACGAACGCGUCGCCGUCGCUGACGGCGGAGACGCCGGCUGACUACCACCUCAAGUUCAACAUGCUGAAAGACAUGUUCGAUGUCAUCGACAUGGAGGGCCGGCGCAGCGGCGAGGAGGAGCGGGUGGGUGGCUUCGACCUGAUCUGGGCCAACGGCCCUGCUGGCGUCUCCACCAACGACAGCCAAAAGACAAUGAUCUCGUCUUACCUCGGGUGCGCGAAUGAGCUUGAGAUUCCCAUGUCGCAGCUGCGCCUGCCUCCUCGACUGCAGAACCACAGCAGCAGCGAGCACCCGCUCACGUGAGGUGUGGCGAAGCCUUUGUUCUUGCUGACAGUGGCGGUAGGACGGGCGGGAAAGAAGUGCGCGACUCGCGUUGGCCACAAGCGGCAAUUACGCGGCAGCUUGCUUGCGACGACCGUGCGUUCUUUUUUUUUCGUUGAGCACGCGUCUACCACCCACUUUCCGCCCUUCGUGCUACGCGACCAGACCCCGCGAUCGAUGCUCUUUAGGCGAUGAAGGAGAUUCGGUUGACGGGGUCGGCUGCUGUCGUCGCGGCAGCUGCUGCUGCUCCUCUUUUGUUUUCUUCUCUUUCUCACUGCAUGUACUACGCCCUCCCUCAUGACGAGGGAGACACACCUCCGCGCGUGGCAUCUCAGGGCCCAGCGGCCCCGCACCCUCUGUGUGGGUGGAGGAGGCCAAAGCAGCCCUCCUAUAUCCCUGCCAAAUGCCGAACCACUUGAGGUGGUGACCGGGUCAGGUGCCUACGACGUAGGGGGGGGAGGCGAGUGCGAUGCAUCCCUGCUGAUGUGGGCGGCCGUGCCCUGGACGGCGUGGCGUCGGGGCGACCUGCGACUGUGAACAGGUCUGUGCCCAUCCACGUGAUGGGCAGGGUGCCCACGGCACUUGAACGACUGUCUCGCCCCGGGCCCUCACACGGCCCACUGGUGAGGGAAGCGGCUGUGAGGCGACCUGCGCAGCGCGGGGUGGUGGGCGGAGUUUGAGGCGCAGGCCGUUCUGAAAUGGCUGUGUUGGCAUUUUUGUAGCGCGCGUGUGAAGCGCUGCUUCGCCCCACACGCGGUGGUGGAGGCCUGUGACGGGGCAGAGGGGUGUCGAUCGGAGUUGACGUCACCGUUGUAUGGAGACAGAUGGCCGCUUUUGGAGCGAAAAUGGGGAUGUACGUCUUUAGGCGAGCUUGUGAUCGUUGUUGGAGCGGAGGAGAGGUGCGCAAGGACGGCUAAGCUGAAGGAGGACGAGUACGGCGGGUGGGGAUGGUGGCGGCCAUCUGUUUCCGUGUUCCGUGAGAGAAUGGGUUUACCGUAUUCGCUGACCUUUACAAGCCCUCCAGCGAGGUGAGAGGAUGAUGGAGUAGAAAGGAGCUUCUGGUGCCUUCUCGGCUGACGGUCUGCGGUCCCCCUUGGCGGCUCCUUCCCAGCCCGCACGCUUUCUCUCCCCGCAUCGCCGACUGCCUCACACGCCCUCGCGCUGUUCUUGCCGUUACACCGGCUACUGUGCGCAUGCACCUUCACCCAAGCGGAGAGCGAGAGAUGAGGCAUCAUGCGUAUCUGUGCGCCGCGGUCCUGUUGGUCGGCUGACCUUCUCCAGCACGGGCCUUCCACGCCACGCACAAAGCCUUCGGCCGCGGCGGGAGCGGCGGGCGAGGACAAUGCCGGCGCCUUCCUGUUCGUGGUGUCCCACAUUCUAUACUGGAUUGCUCUUGCAGUCGUAGAGUUCGCGAGAGCCAGGGGUGGGGCCGAAGGAGAGAGGAUGAGUGUGUGUUUGGUCGGCACAAGUUACGGAUAUGGCGUGACCCAGAACGGCUAAAGCACAAGAGUCGCACCGCUUGUGUGCAUGUGCCGUUACGGCGUUGAUGUGAGGAAUGCGUGUACGGUGCCACUGCCGGUGCACCAAUGGCCUGCACAGUCCUCCUCCUCCUCAUCCCUUCUCUACGUCGCUCUCGCUCACGCACCGAAG